UAAGUAAGCUUUGAUCCAGAGAUUUCCGAAUGGGGAAACCCAGCAUGAGUUAUGUCAUGUUAUCGAUAUGUGAAUACAUAGCAUAUCAGAAGGCAGACCCGGAGAACUGAAACAUCUUAGUACCCGGAGGAAGAGAAAGAAAAUUCGAUUCCCUUAGUAGCGGCGAGCGAAACGGGAAGAGCCCAAACCAACAAGCUUGCUUGUUGGGGUUGUAGGACACUCUAUACGGAGUUACAAAGGACGACAUUAGACGAAUCAUCUGGAAAGAUGAAUCAAAGAAGGUAAUAAUCCUGUAGUCGAAAAUGUUGUCUCUCUUGAGUGGAUCCUGAGUACGACGGAGCACGUGAAAUUCCGUCGGAAUCUGGGAGGACCAUCUCCUAAGGCUAAAUACUCUCUAGUGACCGAUAGUGAACCAGUACCGUGAGGGAAAGGUGAAAAGCACCCCGGAAGGGGAGUGAAAUAGAACCUGAAACCGUGUGCUUACAAGUAGUCAGAGCCCGUUAAUGGGUGAUGGCGUGCCUUUUGUAGAAUGAACCGGCGAGUUACGAUUUGAUGCAAGGUUAAGCAGUAAAUGUGGAGCCGUAGCGAAAGCGAGUCUGAAUAGGGCGUUUAGUAUUUGGUCGUAGACCCGAAACCAGGUGAUCUACCCUUGGUCAGGUUGAAGUUCAGGUAACACUGAAUGGAGGACCGAACCGACUUACGUUGAAAAGUGAGCGGAUGAACUGAGGGUAGCGGAGAAAUUCCAAUCGAACCUGGAGAUAGCUGGUUCUCUCCGAAAUAGCUUUAGGGCUAGCCUCAAGUGAUGAUUAUUGGAGGUAGAGCACUGUUUGGACGAGGGGCCCCUCUCGGGUUACCGAAUUCAGACAAACUCCGAAUGCCAAUUAAUUUAACUUGGGAGUCAGAACAUGGGUGAUAAGGUCCGUGUUCGAAAGGGAAACAGCCCAGACCACCAGCUAAGGUCCCAAAAUAUAUGUUAAGUGGAAAAGGAUGUGGCGUUGCCCAGACAACUAGGAUGUUGGCUUAGAAGCAGCCAUCAUUUAAAGAGUGCGUAAUAGCUCACUAGUCGAGUGACACUGCGCCGAAAAUGUACCGGGGCUAAACAUAUUACCGAAGCUGUGGAUUGUCCUUUGGACAAUGGUAGGAGAGCGUUCUAAGGGCGUUGAAGCAUGAUCGUAAGGACAUGUGGAGCGCUUAGAAGUGAGAAUGCCGGUGUGAGUAGCGAAAGACGGGUGAGAAUCCCGUCCACCGAUUGACUAAGGUUUCCAGAGGAAGGCUCGUCCGCUCUGGGUUAGUCGGGUCCUAAGCUGAGGCCGACAGGCGUAGGCGAUGGAUAACAGGUUGAUAUUCCUGUACCACCUAUAAUCGUUUUAAUCGAUGGGGGGACGCAGUAGGAUAGGCGAAGCGUGCGAUUGGAUUGCACGUCUAAGCAGUAAGGCUGAGUAUUAGGCAAAUCCGGUACUCGUUAAGGCUGAGCUGUGAUGGGGAGAAGACAUUGUGUCUUCGAGUCGUUGAUUUCACACUGCCGAGAAAAGCCUCUAGAUAGAAAAUAGGUGCCCGUACCGCAAACCGACACAGGUAGUCAAGAUGAGAAUUCUAAGGUGAGCGAGCGAACUCUCGUUAAGGAACUCGGCAAAAUGACCCCGUAACUUCGGGAGAAGGGGUGCUCUUUAGGGUUAACGCCCAGAAGAGCCGCAGUGAAUAGGCCCAAGCGACUGUUUAUCAAAAACACAGGUCUCUGCUAAACCGUAAGGUGAUGUAUAGGGGCUGACGCCUGCCCGGUGCUGGAAGGUUAAGAGGAGUGGUUAGCUUCUGCGAAGCUACGAAUCGAAGCCCCAGUAAACGGCGGCCGUAACUAUAACGGUCCUAAGGUAGCGAAAUUCCUUGUCGGGUAAGUUCCGACCCGCACGAAAGGCGUAACGAUUUGGGCACUGUCUCAACGAGAGACUCGGUGAAAUCAUAGUACCUGUGAAGAUGCAGGUUACCCGCGACAGGACGGAAAGACCCCGUGGAGCUUUACUGUAGCCUGAUAUUGAAAUUCGGCACAGCUUGUACAGGAUAGGUAGGAGCCUUUGAAACGUGAGCGCUAGCUUACGUGGAGGCGCUGGUGGGAUACUACCCUAGCUGUGUUGGCUUUCUAACCCGCACCACUUAUCGUGGUGGGAGACAGUGUCAGGCGGGCAGUUUGACUGGGGCGGUCGCCUCCUAAAAGGUAACGGAGGCGCUCAAAGGUUCCCUCAGAAUGGUUGGAAAUCAUUCAUAGAGUGUAAAGGCAUAAGGGAGCUUGACUGCGAGACCUACAAGUCGAGCAGGGUCGAAAGACGGACUUAGUGAUCCGGUGGUUCCGCAUGGAAGGGCCAUCGCUCAACGGAUAAAAGCUACCCCGGGGAUAACAGGCUUAUCUCCCCCAAGAGUUCACAUCGACGGGGAGGUUUGGCACCUCGAUGUCGGCUCAUCGCAUCCUGGGGCUGUAGUCGGUCCCAAGGGUUGGGCUGUUCGCCCAUUAAAGCGGUACGCGAGCUGGGUUCAGAACGUCGUGAGACAGUUCGGUCCCUAUCCGUCGUGGGCGUAGGAAAUUUGAGAGGAGCUGUCCUUAGUACGAGAGGACCGGGAUGGACAUACCUCUGGUGUACCAGUUGUCGUGCCAACGGCAUAGCUGGGUAGCUAUGUGUGGACGGGAUAAGUGCUGAAAGCAUCUAAGCAUGAAGCCCCCCUCAAGAUGAGAUUUCCCAACUUCGGUUAUAAGAUCCCUCAAAGAUGAUGAGGUUAAUAGGUUCGAGGUGGAAGCAUGGUGACAUGUGGAGCUGACGAAUACUAAUCGAUCGAAGACUUAAUCAA
rnacentral:rRNA from 1 species